rnacentral:rRNA from 1 species
UCGAGCGCCCCGCAAGGGGAGCGGCAGACGGGUGAGUAACGCGUGGGAAUCUACCCUUUUCUACGGAAUAACGCAGGGAAACUUGUGCUAAUACCGUAUAAGCCCUUCGGGGGAAAGAUUUAUCGGGAAAGGAUGAGCCCGCGUUGGAUUAGCUAGUUGGUGGGGUAAAGGCCUACCAAGGCGACGAUCCAUAGCUGGUCUGAGAGGAUGAUCAGCCACAUUGGGACUGAGACACGGCCCAAACUCCUACGGGAGGCAGCAGUGGGGAAUAUUGGACAAUGGGCGCAAGCCUGAUCCAGCCAUGCCGCGUGAGUGAUGAAGGCCCUAGGGUUGUAAAGCUCUUUCACCGGUGAAGAUAAUGACGGUAACCGGAGAAGAAGCCCCGGCUAACUUCGUGCCAGCCGCCCGCGGUAAUA